AACGAACGCUGGCGGCAUGCCUAGCACAUGCAAGUCGAACGAGAUCUUCGGGUCUAGUGGCGCACGGGUGCGUAACGCGUGGGAAUCUGCCCUUUGGUUCGGAAUAACAGUUGGAAACGACUGCCAAUACCGGAUGAUGACGAAAGUCCAAAGAUUUAUCGCCAGAGGAUGAGCCCGCGUAGGAUUAGCUAGUUAGUGUGGUAACGGCGCACCAAGGCGACGAUCCUUAGCUGGUCUGAGAGGAUGAUCAGCCACACUGGGACUGAGACACGGCCCAGACUCCUACGGGAGGCAGCAGUGGGGAAUAUUGGACAAUGGGCGAAAGCCUGAUCCAGCAAUGCCGCGUGAGUGGUGAAGGCCUUAGGGUUGUAAAGCUCUUUUACCCGGGAUGAUAAUGACAGUACCGGGAGAAUAAGCUCCGGCUAACUCCGUGCCAGCAGCCGCCGCAG
rnacentral:rRNA from 1 species